CUGGACUUAGUUUAAAUUAAAAUAUUGGCUUUGGAUGCCAAAGAAAACUCUUGUUAGUCCAGA
rnacentral:tRNA from 1 species